GGUUUGUGAAUGCGGAAGGGUGUUUUUCCUCUAAAUGCCUCCUGAAUAUUAAGCUCCAUCCCUUGGGUGUUGUUUGAAAUGCUCCCGUAGUUUUAUCUCCAUAAUGACUCCAUCAAAUUACCUUAGCUCAGUGUUACAAUUUCUCAGCUCCCUAUAAUCAUCUGGUUCAGGAAUUUCGACUUUCUCCGGUCGACUGGCUUUGCACCGAUUGUAUACUGAUGGAUCUGCAGUAUGGCUGAAGCAUAAAUUAGAGGCGGCAGAUCGCCUCGGGCUGACCUGUGUAAGCUGUCUCUGUAGGCAUCAUAGGUGGACUCCCGUUGCGAAGACUGUUCCCUAAGGAAGGCAAUUUAAUUAUGCUUUUUCUGAAGAUACCUCAUUUGUCCAAAUUCCAAAGGGGGGUUCACACUAACAACGAUUUGCACUGUCAAAGCGAUCAUCACUCAUUUUGAAUUAAAUAGAAAUGCUGACUUAAAAAAAUAUUUGAACAACAAGUAGUUCCAGUCCUCAAAUUUGAUUGGCAGCACUGGGUUUUUCCAGUGUUGUUAUCCAAACUUGUCUGUGUUUGCAUGUUCCAGACAGAAGUAGGUGGCGACAAGUGACUGGGCUG
ensembl:lncRNA